ACUGCACACACCACACCCGCCGCCCCACCUAUUCCGACCACGGCAGCGUGGAAAAGAAUUCCGUCGAACAACGGAACAUCAUCCUGGUCGAUGUCUCCAGGCGAGUCCACACCUCCAUGCCCACGUAUAGGGCCGCAAGAGUCACCAUAGCGACCGUAAUCCCUUUCAAGAAUUCCAUUUCACCUCCUAGUCGAUUUGUUGUCGGGAUCGCAUAAUCUCGAUCAUUCUCCGCAGAAUAGCUUUCUUGUCCUCCAGGUCGAUCCCCGGCGAGGCCCUGGCCUCGGCUUUUAAGUCCUCGAAUCCCGCCGGGUCAAGCUCGGGCAUCGCCUCGAUCCGGCGGACGAUAACCUUGUCCUCGUAAAUCCGUUGCGCUUUUUGGGCUUCGUCCUUGGAUAGCGGGGGCGGGUCGUGAUGCUGGUCCCGGUCGCCGAUGCGUUGGGAAUGCCUUCUAUCAGCGCUCCAUUUCACCGCACGAUUACACACCCUGUGAAGGCAUAGGCCAUGCACCAGUUGUGAGGGUUCC
rnacentral:rRNA from 1 species